rnacentral:rRNA from 1 species
CACGUAGGGGGCGAGCGUUGCCCGGAUUUAUUGGGCGUAAAGAGCUCGUAGGCGGCUCAGUAAGUCAGGUGUGAAAACUCCAGGCUCAACCUGGAGACGCCACCUGAUACUGCUGUGGCUAGAGUUCGGUAGGGGAGCAUGGAAUUCCUGGUGUAGCGGUGAAAUGCGCAGAUAUCAGGAGGAACACCAGUGGCGAAGGCGGUGCUCUGGGCCGGAACUGACGCUGAGGAGCGAAAGCGUGGGGAGCAAACAGG